GGAACUGCAAGCCCAAGGAACUGCAAGCACAGACCUUGCGGAUGGCACUGGGGUGGAGAAGGGAAUGCAGCCCGUGUCCCUGCCCCAGCCCAUGGGGCUGCCCAACGCGUCCCAACGGGGCUUUGCUCCCCAGCUGCGGCAGGACAGACUGUUGUCCGUGGUCCAGCAAAGCCGCCGGCCCCAUCGCCAAACCCCGAUGCCUGGAAGCUGGAUGAGGCCUUGGCUUUGUUGCACCGUGGAGGAGCGGAGGCUUUGUCCGAGGGAAGGAUUGAUCCCCCGCGCCGUGCGCCGAGGCAGCACGCGCUGCGAGAAUAAAUAAAAGCUUUCAGCAAAAUUAGCAACUGAGGGAAUAGAUAAACACUAAGCAGAUAUUGACUUCUGUUGAGGUGAACGUCGAGAUUUAUUGAGCUGGGGAGGUAAAUAUUGACCGAGGCAAAGCUAAGGUCAAUAAUUAACUCAAGGGAUGAUAAAUCAAAGCACAGUGAAACAUGAACUCUGCGUGUGCAUCGUUACGGACAUUCUGAACGUCUCCAUUGAGGAAGAUCUUGACUUUCCGCAAGACUUCUGAGUGGAAAGCAGGACUUCAGUCUUGCUGCUGCCCCCCAGAAGUCAGGAAAUAGUUUUGGUGAAGUCCCAGAUCUGGAGACUCUGCGACUCUUUGGAUGUGGUGUGGAUUCGGACCAGACUCAGUGGUGAUGGGAUGGAGACAAAGCGCCCAUGGUGUGAAGGUCUACAGCAAGGCCCUGCCAAAAAUCCACCUCCACGAAAAGAAACCCGCGCAGUUCUGAUUGACCAUCACGAGUGGUGCUGCUCCCAGCGUGCAAACAGGGACCUCGGGCUGCAGAGAUGAGGGAUGCACAGCACAGGAUGUGUCCCCAGGGCUGGGUGACGCUGGGUGCCAUGCGCUGGCCGCGCAGAGCACAGGUAACGAGCAAAGCAUCGGACGGACGGACAGACGGACGCUUCCAGCCACGCUGCCAUCACUACGCCAAAGGGAAGCGCUGCAGGUGCGGGGCUGGCGCUUGACAUAAAGCAGAGCCCUCGUGCUCUUGUCAAGAGCUUUUCUCACCCUGGUUACAGCACCCUGCACCCUGGCUGACCUCCAUGCAGGCAUAAAUUGGUCGAGAUAGAAGAGCCACCCGCGCUCAGCCCCACAGCGCGAGGGAGCCGUCCGCCAGCAGUGGAGGAACCCUUCGUGCUGCCCUUUUUUUGCAAGUUUCGCCCUGGAAAUCGCCACCUCAGCCCAUCCCCUCUGCAGGGGAAGCUCGUGCAUCCCCAGGGAGCGCAGGGACGGGUUGGGGUCUGGCAGUAAUUACACAGGGAAAGCGGAGCCCCGCUGGGCUGCUUCGAGCAGCGACGUGUCACGGCUGGGAGCGGAGGCAUUUCGCAUUCCGACUUCAGAUGUCAUCAGCAACAACACCGGGGGAGAAGGGCACAACGGCAGCAUUUCUGCACCCUGCUCUGCGCUGGGUUUUCUGUUAAAUCAGUGGGAAAAGAGCAAAUACAGUCAGAAGACCCAUGUGCUGAGUUGGAGCUGGAUGGCCUUUAAGGACCCUUCCAACCCGACCAUCCCAUGGUUCCAUGAUCUUUAAGGACCCUUCCAACCCGACCAUCCCAUGGUCCCAUGAUCUUUAAGGACCCUUCCAACCCGACCAUCCCAUGGUCCCAUGAUCUUUAAGGACCUUUCCAACCCAACCAUCCCAUGGUUCCAUGAUCUUUAAGGACCCUUCCAACCCGACCAUCCCAUGGUACCAUGAUCUUUAAGGACCCUUCCAACCCGACCAUCCCAUGGUCCCAUGAUUUUUCAGGACCCUUUCAACCCAACUCAUUCUAUAGUUUUCUGACCUUCAAGGACCCUUCCAACCCAACAACCACCACAUGGUUUUAUCAUCUCUAAGGACCCUUCCAACCCCACCAUCCCAUGGCUGAUGAUC